AAUGACUGGGCAACAAUAGGGGCGGCGCUAGGAAGAAGUGCAUCUUCUGUCAAAGAUCGGUGCCGACUGAUGAAGGAUACUUGCAACACAGGAUAGCAGAACUUGAUGUAGCUGAUGAAAAUGACAUUAACUGGGAUCUGUUAGCUGAGGGAUGGAGUAGUGUCCGUUCACCACAAUGGCUACGAAGUAAAUGGUGGACCAUCAAAAGGCAAAUUGCAAACCAUAAGGAUGUUUCCUUCCCUGGUAAUGUAUUAACUUUUUAAGCUCCUCCCCUUCUCUUACCGUAUUUACUCCUUAGGAGUGAGAGGUUAGAAGUUCUUUGCCCCAGCUAAAGAGAUAUCAUAGCAGAUUUCUACUUAGACUUCUUCCCUGUUUCUCUCAGUAAUUGUUUUCUUCCCCAGAGAAGAGUUAAUACUGUUUGUAAUUUCUAAAGCCCC
rnacentral:sRNA from 1 species